ACUCCUACGGGAGGCAGCAGUGGGGAAUAUUGCACAAUGGGGGAAACCCUGAUGCAGCCAUGCCGCGUGUGUGAAGAAGGCCUUCGGUUGUAAAGCACUUCAGUAGGGAGGAAGGUAGUGUAGUUAACACCUGCAUUAUUUGACGUUACCUACAGAAGAAGCACCGGCUAACUCCGUGCCAGCAGCCGCGGUAAUACGGAGGGGUGCGAGCGUUAAUCGGAAUUACUGGGCGUAAAGCGCAUGCAGGCGGCCUGUUAAGUCAGAUGUGAAAGCCCGGGGGCUUAACCUCGGAAUUGCAUUUGAAACUGGCAGGCUAGAGUCUUGUAGAGGGGGUUAGGAAUUUCAGGUGUAGCGGUGAAAUGCGUAGAGAUCUGAAGGAAUACCAGUGGCGAAGGCGGCCCCUGGACAAGACUGACGCUCAGAUGCGAAAGCGUGGGAGGCAAACAGGAUUAGAUACCCUGGUAGACUGUCA
rnacentral:rRNA from 1 species